CGUAGAGAAGACGAAUGGCAAGUCGGCGGGCUCAUGCCUCGCAGAAGCGGGUUCGAUUCCUGCCUCUACUA
rnacentral:tRNA from 1 species